rnacentral:rRNA from 1 species
CCAUGCAGUCGAGCGCGAACGUUCCUUCGGGAUUAUUAGAGCGGCGGACGGGUGAGUAGCGCGUGGGAAUCUGCCCUGUAGUGGGGGACAACGUUGGAAACGACUGCUAAUACCGCAUACGCCCUACGGGGGAAAGGAGGGGAUUCUUCGGAACCUUCCGCUAUUGGAUGAGCCCGCGUGAGAUUAGGUAGUUGGUGGGGUAAUGGCCUACCAAGCCCGCGAUCUCUACCUGGUCUGAGAGGAUGAUCAGCCACACUGCAACUGAUACACGGCCCAG